rnacentral:rRNA from 1 species
UGCAAGUCGAGCGAGGCGGGUAGCAAUACCCAGUCGAGCGGCGAACGGGUGAGUAACACGUGGAUAACCUGCCCUGAGGUGGGGGAUAACCCGGGGAAACUCGGGCUAAUACCGCAUGAUACCGAGAGGUCAAAGGGGGCUCGCAAGAGCUCUCGCCAUAGGAGGGGUCCGCGUCCGAUUAGCUAGUUGGUAGGGUAACGGCCUACCAAGGCGACGAUCGGUAGCCGGCCUGAGAGGGUGAUCGGCCACACUGGAACUGAGACACGGUCCAGACUCCUACGGGAGGCAGCAGUGGGGAAUUUUGCGCAAUGGGCUAACGCCUGACGCGGCAACGCCGCGUGGAGGAUGAAGGUCUUUGGAUUGUAAACUCCUGUCAGCAGGGAAAAAGCGAAUUGGCCUAAUACGCCAGUGAGUUGAUUGUACCUGCAGAGGAAGCCCCGGCUAACUCUGUGCCAGCAGCUGCGGUAAUACAGAGGGGGCAAGCGUUAUUCGGAAUUAUUGGGCGUAAAGGGCGCGUAGGCGGCUUGGCAAGUGGAUGGUGAAAUCCCUCGGCUUAACCGAGGAACUGCCGUCCAAACUGCUUUGCUUGGGGCCGGGAGAGGCGAGUGGAAUUCCCAGUGUAGCGGUGAAAUGCGUAGAUAUUGGGAGGAACACCAGUGGCGAAGGCGGCUCGCUGGACCGGUUCUGACGCUGAGGCGCGAAAGCGUGGGGAGCAAACGGGAUUAGAUACCCCGGUAGUCCACGCUGUAAACGAUGAGUGCUUGGUGUAGCGGGUAUCGACCCCUGCUGUGCCGAANUCAACACAU